rnacentral:sRNA from 1 species
AUGCAGAGCAGAGCUGGGCAGCACAGACCUGGGAGCCAGCAAGUCCACACAGUCUGGCAUUUACAAGUGAAACAGCUCAGAGGCUGAGAAUGGUGUGGAGGAGAAAAAGAAAGCCUGCAGGUCGCCAACAGCCCAAUCCCCUACCCCAUCUGUGGAGGCCGAGUCCCCAGACCAGAAGAAAAUCAUUAGCCUACGGUCAAAAUCCAGUUUUGAUGGUGCCUCUUUAGCAAGUGAUAAGAACGACUGUAAAACAGAAAGCAAAAAUGACCCUAAGACUGAAAGAAAAAAGUCUUCAUCUUCCAGCCAGUACAAGGCCAAUAUGCACUUUCACAAGUUGUUUCUUAGUGUCCCAACGGAGGAACCACUGAAGCAAAGCUUUACCUGUGCUCUACAGAAAGAAAUACUAUACCAAGGAAAGCUCUUUGUAUCAGAAAACUGGAUUUGUUUUCAUUCCAAAGUCUUUGGAAAAGACACAAAGAUCUCUAUUCCAGCUUUCUCGGUAACCCUAAUAAAGAAAACCAAAACUGCUCUUCUAGUGCCAAAUGCCCUGAUCAUAGCAACAGUCACAGA